GCUCGUUGACAAACUCUCUCAAACCCUCAACUGAAGACAUUGUUGCUUGAUAACAGAUGAAAUAAUAACAUGCACUUCCACGGCACCGAGCAACGGCUGAGCAACACUAGAAGGUUCCGACUGGAAACACCAGUCACAUUAAGGUUCCGCUUGCUCUUAAGGUUGCAGCAGGAAGACGACUUCUCACCUGUGUGGAUUCUCAUAGGAGCAGCCAAUGAAGAUGCCCGACUGAAUCUUAUCUCACUCGCGUCGCAAGAAAAGCUGUGCUGCAUUAUAAACAAGUUGCACUUGGAUUGGACUGGAGGCCCUUAAAGCUCCUCCGGCAGCCGAAGGAAGACGUCUCACUUCACUUCAAAUUAUGAUUUUUUUUCGUCUUGUGUGUACGUUUAUGAAAGGUUGUAUCAAUAGAUAGUAGAGUAUAUAAGUAUUUUAAAUAAAACAUUUUAGAAAUUUAUCCUGCGUAAUCUCAAACCGGGUUUACAAAUAUUAUCCUACAAUCUGAGUUUUUGGUCGAUGUCUUCCUUGUACUCAACAAUAGUUUGUUUUUUUUAAUUCAAAAAUAUUUCUACUCUGCAUGAUAUUCCAUCUGAUAUUUUUGGAACAGGGAAAUCUUUGAUCAGGAGCUCUAUUUUCUUUUACUUUUUCAAAAACGGCAUGAAACAAAAGUAACUCAGGCGAGUGAACAUCACUUGAGGGUUUAUCAGUUUAAGAGAGCAAUCUUUUUUAUUUGCAGGAAAUUCUCAGUUUGACAAUUAUUUCCACAGACAGACAAAUAUUUCUAUAUUACAAAGGAUAAACAAUAGCAGAAUAUGUUCACUAAAUAUGUAACAAUUCUUUUUUUAAGAUUUGGGGGAUUACAGUAAAUUCCCCGAAAAAGUCUCACUAACUUCUAGUUAGAUUGAGGAAAAAACAGGUAAAUUUUGGAUGACGCCAUCAUCUACCUGCUGCAACGAGCCCAGUCGCACCUGGAUGGAAAUGGUGGCUCUGUGAGAAUAACUUUCUUUGAUUUCUCCAGUGCCUUCAACACAAUCCAACCACUGCUGCUGAGUGAGAAGCUGCGGGUGGUGGGGGUGGAAUCACCUG